rnacentral:lncRNA from 1 species
GGUAUGUGAUGCGGUGCUGACUUAGAUUCGUACUUUGUGAUAGCGUCUGUAUGGAUGGGCGCUGCAACCUUGGCCCAGGUAUGGGAAAGUUGAUCCAUGUGCCGUGGUCAAUCCAGACAAUCUUAAGUAGCACUCGUACCUUUGCAGUAUCUUUGCUUGUGUUGGCCCUUGCCAGCUUUGGUAGAAUUUUGUAAAAUAGCUAAUUUCUUAACAUUUGACGACGCAGGAGCAGUACAUCUGUUCCGGGAAGAGACGAUACCCUCUACAGUUUCAGUCGAAACUUGUGAAUUCGUGGGAAGAGUUGCAAUUGUCCUGUUUAUCUUCCCUUGAUGUGGACCAUAGGGCAUUAUCGGGAGGUUUAUGGCCGCUGUCGUUGAAAGCUGCGUCUGAAAGGUCCUUGAACAUUUUUGGUGACCCAGCGUAAUUGCAAGCUACUGAACAUCUUGUAACCAUGGGGAGUUUUGCCAGUACUCACAAAGCUCGGGCGGAUAAGGCUACCACAAAGCCAGAGGCAAGCGAAACCUUGUCGACUGCGACCGCACCGACGGGUAAGCACUCACCUGGCUUUUACUUCAUCACGAACAUCGAGUGUCAGGGGACACUGUUGAGAACAAAUCCUAUCCUAACUGCCGGGCGACGGGCUGUGGCCUCGUCGGCUGAUGCCAACCUGCAGCUGCAUCGCCAACGGAGGAUGUGAAAAUGGAUGAAACAGCCGACUCCUUUGGCAAGGGUGAUUCCAUUACGGAAGGACAGUUGGAAAGUCUUCGCGU